UACGUAGGGUCCGAGCGUUGUCCGGAAUUAUUGGGCGUAAAGAGCUCGUAGGCGGUUUGUCGCGUCUGCUGUGAAAUCCCGAGGCUCAACCUCGGGCCUGCAGUGGGUACGGGCAGACUAGAGUGUGGUAGGGGAGACUGGAAUUCCUGGUGUAGCGGUGAAAUGCGCAGAUAUCAGGAGGAACACCGGUGGCGAAGGCGGAUCUCUGGGCCGUAACUGACGCUGGAGGAGCGAAAGCAUGGGGAGCGAACAGG
rnacentral:rRNA from 1 species